rnacentral:rRNA from 1 species
AACGAACGCUGGCGGCGUGGAUAAGACAUGCAAGUCGAACGGGAACUUCAGCUGUAGCAAUACAGUUGAAGUUUUAGUGGCGAACGGGUGCGUAACACGUGGGCAAUCUGCCGAGAAGUGGGGGAUAGCUCGCCGAAAGGCGAAUUAAUACCGCAUAUGAUCAGCUAAGACAUCUUAGCGACAUCAAAGCCGGGGCAACCUGGCGCUUUUUGAGGAGCCCGCGGCCUAUCAGCUAGUUGGUGAGGUAACGGCUCACCAAGGCUAUGACGGGUAGCUGGUCUGAGAGGACGACCAGUCACACUGGAACUGAGACACGGUCCAGACACCUACGGGUGGCAGCAGCCGAGUAAUUUUUCUCAAUGGGGGCCAACCCUGAAGGAGCGACGCCGCGUGGAGGAUGAAGGCUUUCGGGUUGUAACUCCUGUCAGUUUGGAACAAGCUGCACCGGUUAACUGCCGGUGCAUUGAUAGUACCAGAAGAGGAAGAGAC